CGGUAGCUCAGUUGGAAGAGCAUUGGUCCGGAAACCCAAAGGUACCCCGGGUUCAAGCCCCGGUUUUAAAGA